AUUUCUCAUCGUCAACCAAAGUGAUCGAGUGCCCGCCCAGCUAGUGUUGCAUCAGGUGGGGCAUGGACAAGUACACGAUUCGCAUCCUUGCAAUAGCAGCCCUAGUCUGUCUACAUCUCGUAUGCUCUGCUACUGUUGCUCAAUGCCGAAACAUGGCCGACGCGGAUAGGAAGAAGAUCGCUCUACCAUACGGGCUAUGCGUUCAAGUAGGUCCUGACGAUUGUGGGGACGGUGGUUGCUUCCAUUGUUUGGUAAACGAUGUCUUCUACCGCAGUAUGGAUGAGUGCAAGAGCAAGUGUAACACAACCUCAUCUACGUCCCCUCCUUCUUUAAAUGCUCCUUAGCUAGUCAAAUUGGCUUACAUAUGUUGAAGAUUGUCCCAAGAAAUAAUGUCUGAUGUGUGAAAAUGCAGUUCUGCAAUAAGAGUAAUAUAUACUCCGGCAGUUAAUUGUUGCUGAGUAUUUUGGUUUGGCAAA